GGUGGCCUAGUAGUUAGAGCGUCCGCCUCAGAUGCUUAAGGUCGCGGGAUUGAACCCCGGCAGAGUCA